AUUGAACGCUGGCGGCAGGCCUAACACAUGCCAGUCGAGCGGAUGAAGGGAGCUUGCUCCUGGAUUCAGCGGCGGACGGGUGAGUAAUGCCUAGGAAUCUGCCUGGUAGUGGGGGAUAACGUCCGGAAACGGGCGCUAAUACCGCAUACGUCCUGAGGGAGAAAGUGGGGGAUCUUCGGACCUCACGCUAUCAGACGAGCCUAGGUCGGAUUAGCUAGUUGGUGGGGUAAAGGCCUACCAAGGCGACGAUCCGUAACUGGUCUGAGAGGAUGAUCAGUCACACUGGAACUGAGACACGGUCCAGACUCCUACGGGAGGCAGCAGUGGGGAAUAUUGGACAAUGGGCGAAAGCCUGAUCCAGCCAUGCCGCGUGUGUGAAGAAGGUCUUCGGAUUGUAAAGCACUUUAAGUUGGGAGGAAGGGCAGUAAGUUAAUACCUUGCUGUUUUGACGGUACCAACAGAAUAAGCACCGGCUAACUUCGUG
rnacentral:rRNA from 1 species